rnacentral:rRNA from 1 species
AGACGGAGGGGGCUAGCGUUGUUCGGAAUUACUGGGCGUAAAGCGCGCGUAGGCGGAUUGAUCAGUCAGAGGUGAAAUCCCAGGGCUCAACCCUGGAACUGCCUUUGAUACUGUCAGUCUUGAGUUCGAGAGAGGUGAGUGGAAUUCCGAGUGUAGAGGUGAAAUUCGUAGAUAUUCGGAGGAACACCAGUGGCGAAGGCGGCUCACUGGCUCGAUACUGACGCUGAGGUGCGAAAGCGUGGGGAGCAAACAGGAUUAGAAACCCCAGUAGUCC